rnacentral:misc_RNA from 3 species
AACGCACCUUGCGCCCUUUGGUAUUCCGAAGGGCAUGCCUGUUUGAGUGUCAUUAAAUUCUCAACCUUGCAAGCUUUUGCUUGUGAGGCUUGGAUGUGAGGGUUUUUGCUGGCUUCCUUCAUUUGGAUGGUCUGCUCCCUUUAAAUUUAUUAGUGGGAUCCUUUGUGGAUGGUCACUUGGUGUGAUAAUUAUCUACGCCGCCUGACUCUGAUACAAGACUUGUGGGAACCCGCUUAUAACCGUCUCUUCAGAGAGACAACUUAUAUUGACAAUUUGACCUCAAAUCAGGUAGGACUACCCGCUGAACUUAA